rnacentral:rRNA from 1 species
UACGUAGGGUGCAAGCGUUUGUCCGGAAUUAUUGGGCGUAAAGAGCUCGUAGGCGGUCUGUUGCGUCGGCUGUGAAAACCCAGGGCUCAACCCUGGGCCUGCAGUCGAUACGGGCAGGCUAGAGUGUGGUAGGGGAGACUGGAAUUCCUGGUGUAGCGGUGAAAUGCGCAGAUAUCAGGAGGAACACCGAUGGCGAAGGCAGGUCUCUGGGCAUUAACUGACGCUGAGGAGCGAAAGCAUGGGGGAGCGAACAGG